UCUGUGCCGAUAAUUCAACGGGACUAGAACACAAUACCGAAGCUACGGGCAGUGAUGCGUUAGAGGAGCGUUCUAAGGGCCUUGAAGCUAGACCGUAAGGACUAGUGGAGCGCUUAGAAGUGAGAAUGCCGGUAUGAGUAACGAUUCAAAGUGAGAAUCUUUGACGCCUAUUGGGGAAGGUUUCCUGGGCAAGGUUCGUCCACCCAGGGUUAGUCGGGACCUAAGACGAGACCGAAAGGUGUAGCCGAUGGGCAACAGGUUAAUAUUCCUGUACUGAGUAAAAUGUGAUGGAGUGACGGAGAAGGAUAAGUCUUACCACUUACUGGAUUGUGGGGUAAGUAUCAACUGGGCGUUGUAGGCAAAUCCGCAGCGCUUAACCGGGAGAUGCGAUGCAUAGUGAAAGGGUAACCAA
rnacentral:rRNA from 2 species